GACGAACGCUGGCGGCGUGCUUAACACAUGCAAGUCGAACGGGCCUGUCUUCUUUUUUGGGGGGUGGGUUGAGUGGCGAACGGGUGAGUAUCACGUGAGUAACCUGCCCUUCGGUCCUGGAUAACCGCUUGAAAGGGCGGCUAAUACGGGGUGGUCCGGUUGGUCCGCAUGGGCUGGUCGGGAUAGCUUCACUGUUUUUGGUGUUUCGGCGGGGGAUGGGCUCGCGGCCUAUCAGCUUGUUGGUGGGGUGAUGGCCUACCAAGGCGGUGACGGGUAGCCGGCCGGAGAGGGUGGGCGGCCACACUGGGACUGAGAUACGGCCCAGACUCCUGCGGGAGGCAGCAGUGGGGGGUAUUGCACAAGGGGCGGAAGCCUGAUGCAGCGACGUCGCGUGAGGGAUGGAGGCCUUCGGGUUGUGAACCUCUGUUUCCGGUGGUGAAGGCCCUGUCCGUGUGGUGGGGUUGACGGUAGCCGGGGAUGAAGCGCCGGCUAACUACGUG
rnacentral:rRNA from 1 species